GAGAAAACGAGGGAGCUGGUUUUUUUUGCCAAAUGUAAAUUGUAAAAACAAUUUUUCAUAGUUCUGCUUCAUCCUUGUUUCGAGGCGUGGACAUGCACGGUCUUGCAAGGCAGCAAAUCGCACCAGAAAGUAUGAGGUUUUUUCUACAACAACAAAUCCCACCGUCGCUCCAUCAAGUGUAAAAUUUGUAUGUAUUGCGCUCACGGACAGAUCAGCAGAUAAGCCGAAGCCGAGGUAACAAAUCGCACCAUAAAGUAUGAGAUCAGCCGAAGGCAAGGCAGCGAAUCGCACCAGAAAGUAUGAGGUUUUUUCUACAACAACAAAUCCCACCGUCGCUCCAGCAAGUGUAAAAUUUGUAUGUAUUGCGCUCACGGACAGAUCAGCAGAUAAGCCGAAGGCAAGGCAACAAAUCGCACCAUAAAGUAUGAGAUCAGCCGAAGGCAAGGCAGCGAAUCGCACCAGAAGGUAUGAGGUUUUUUCGACAACAACAAAUCCAUGCGUCGCGCCAUAAAGUAUGUGAUUUGUAUGUAUUGCGCCCACGAACAGAUCAGCAGAUCAGCCGACGGCAAAGCAGAGGAAUAGUCCCAUCAAGUAUGAGGUUUUUUUCCGCACAGAAUGCUGGAAUCGGGGAAACCAUACGAUGAUUCGAUUGAUUCCUGUUUAUUCACCAUAUUUAUUAGCCUCAAAUUAAAGCAGUGAUGAGUAUCCCCUAGUUGCCAUCUCCGACUGCAGCCCUCGCCAA